CGGGUGAGUAACACGUGGGUAACCUACCUAUAAGACUGGGACAACUUCGGGAAACCGGAGCUAAUACCGGAUAAGAUAUCGAACCGCAUGGUUCGAUAGUGAAAGAUGGCUUUGCUAUCACUUAUAGAUGGACCCGCGCCGUAUUAGCUAGUUGGUGAGGUAACGGCUCACCAAGGCAACGAUACGUAGCCGACCUGAGAGGGUGAUCGGCCACACUGGAACUGAGACACGGUCCAGACUCCUACGGGAGGCAGCAGAU
rnacentral:rRNA from 1 species